rnacentral:rRNA from 1 species
UACAGAGGUCUCAAGCGUUGUUCGGAUUCACUGGGCGUAAAGGGUGCGUAGGUGGUGAAGUAAGUCGGAUGUGAAAUCUCGGAGCUCAACUCCGAAACUGCAUUGGAAACUACUUUGCUCGAGGGUUGGAGGGGGGACUGGAAUUCUCGGUGUAGCAGUGAAAUGCGUAGAUAUCGAGAGGAACACCAGUGGCGAAGGCGAGUCCCUGGACAACUCCUGACACUGAGGCACGAAAGCUAGGGGAGCAAACAGG